UACAGAGGGGGCAAGCGUUGUUCGGAAUUACUGGGCGUAAAGGGCGCGUAGGCGGUCCGAUAAGUCCCGUGUGAAAUCCCUCGGCUCAACUGAGGAAUGGCACGGGAAACUGCCGGGCUUGAGUUCGGGAGAGGCAAUCGGAAUUCUUGGUGUAGCGGUGAAAUGCGUAGAUAUCAAGAGGAACACCUGAGGUGAAGACGGGUUGCUGGGCCAACACUGACGCUGAGGCGCGAAAGCCAGGGGAGCAAACGGG
rnacentral:rRNA from 1 species